CCUACGGGCGGCAGCAGUGGGGAAUAUUGCUCAAUGGGCGUAACCCUGAAGCAGCCACGUCGCGUGGAGGAUGAAGGUUUUAUGAUUCGAAACUCCUUUUUUGAAGGGAGUUAAUGACGGUAUGUCACGCAUAUGCACCGUCUAACUCCGUUCCAGCAGCCGCGGUAAUACGGAGGGUGCCAGCGUUACUCGGAGUCACUGGGCGUAAAGAGUGCGCAGGCGGGCUUGUAAGUCAGAUGUGAAAUCCUUUAGCGUAACUACAGAAUUGCCGUUGAAACUAUGAGUCUAGAGUGUGGGCGAGGUAGGGGGAAUGCUUGGUGUAGGGGUAAAAUCCGUAGAUAUCACGAGGAAUACUCAUUGCGAAGGUGACCUACUGGGACAUUACUGACGCUGAUGCACGAAAGCGUGGGGAGCAAACAGGAUUAGAUACCCGAGUAGUC
rnacentral:rRNA from 1 species